AACGAACGCUGGCGGCAGGCCUAACACAUGCAAGUCGAGCGCGCCCUUCGGGGUGAGCGGCGGACGGGUGAGUAACGCGUGGGAACGUACCCUCUUCUGCGGGAUAGCCACUGGAAACGGUGAGUAAUACCGCAUACGCCCUUCGGGGGAAAGAUUUAUCGGGGGAGGAUCGGCCCGCGUUGGAUUAGGUAGUUGGUGGGGUAAUGGCCUACCAAGCCUACGAUCCAUAGCUGGUUUUAGAGGAUGAUCAGCCACACUGGGACUGAGACACGGCCCAG
rnacentral:rRNA from 1 species